UCUUUAAUUUGGUAGUUCUGUAUUGGCGGCAAAGGUGACGAAUCACGUUUCUCCUGGUUUUGUUUGAUAUCUUUGGCACAUGUUAAGCAGAAUUAUUUCAAGCCUGACUUUGGCAUGUGGUGUGUGCAAUGCAUGUGUGUGUGUAGUGAUUAUUCACUCACUAAGAGUUUGCUCUUUGGCAUGGGAUCAUAUCGGUCAAGGUGGGAGGUGACCUGCACCCACCGAGGUAAACGAGAUGUGACUCUCUAUACUCAUCUUCAUUCCCUACUUCUAAAGUUAAGUACAUCUAAAACGAUAAACAUGAAUGAUUUCGCUGAGUUACAGUUACAGCAGAGAUCUGAAUCCUCCUGGCCUUGUGUGUGAUCUAUGCUGUGUCUCACCAAGAAAAUCUGAUGCGUCCCAAUAAUUUUGUUAUUCACCGGUCGGCGGGACGCCUUCGACCGUGUGUGUGUGUGUGUGUGUGUUGUACUUGGCGAGAGGGCCCAUUAGAUAUACAGCGUCAAAGUAUUUGAUUAUUAAGAACGCUGCCAGCGUUUAACAGUACACGAAACUGAAGAAGAAGAAGAAGAAGAGAAAAAGAAGAAAAAGGAACAAGAGAAAAUAGUUAUCCUUCCUCCUUUCGAGCGAACCUUCUGGGUCAUGUGGGUUUGUACAUACACACACACACACGACGGUUGUAUAAGCCUAGAAGGAAUUCCCUCUCUUUAGCUGGUACAUUCUUCUUCUUAUUUCUUUUCUCUUUUGGUUUUCUC